rnacentral:rRNA from 1 species
GGACGAACGUUGGCGGCGUGCUUAACCCAUGCAAGCCGAACGGAAAGGCCCUGCUUUUGUGGGGUGCUCGUGUGGCGAACCGGUGAGUAACACGUGAGUAACCUGCCCUUGACUUUGGGGUAACUUCAGGAAACUGGGGCUAAUACCUGAUAGGAGCUCCUGCUGCAUGGUGGGGGUUGGACAGCUUCGGCGGUUGGGGUUGGACUCGCGGCUUAUCAGCUUGUUGGUGGGGUAGUGGCGUACCAAGGCUUUGACGGGUAGCCGGCCUGAGAGGGUGACCGGCCACAUUGGGACUGAGAUACGGCCCAGACUCCUACGGGAGGCAACAGUGGGGAGUAUUGCACAAUGGGCGGGAGCCUGAUGCAACAACGCCGCGUGCGGGAUGACGGCCUUCGGGUUGUAAACCGCAUUCGCCUGUGACGAAGCGGGAGUGACGGUAAUGGGUAAAGAAGCACCGGCUAACUACGUG